AUGGACUUGACUCCGGCAUCAGGCUUCAGAAGGAGGCCUGCUGCCUCCUCCUCCCCAAGCGGAGUUAGAGAGAUUGCCAGGAGCCCUCCUCCCUGCUCGCCCUCCUUGUCCCUGUCCUCUCCUUCAUCUGCUCCGUCAUCGCCCCUGUCUACAUCCUCCUCCGUCUGCGUCAACCUGUCCGUUGUUCCGAACCAUGUGAAAGGUCUGACCCAGGGGACAGAGGUGGCCAGGGUGUCCGCCACUUCUGCCUCUCCAGCAACGCAGUCUCUCUCCACGCCUACGUCCAACGCCACCUCCUCCAAAUCCUUUCCUCGCCCCUCAGCGCAGCCACGUGUUGAUUGUGAAGAGGAGGGCAGGGAAAGGGAGAUGUAUGAUCCUUUCCAUCCAACUGAGGGAGUGAAGGGGGAGGAGGGGGAAGGGGAGAAAUAUGACCCCUUUGACCCCACUGGUUCCCCAGCAUCAGACCCCGAUGACGGUAGUGGCAGAGGGAGGGGGGCGAAGAGAAAUGCUGAGAGGGGCAAUGACGAGGAGAAAGAGGAAGAACCUCCAGACUCCACUGACGCCUUGACUGACUUGCCAAGCCCCUGUCGGGCCACCCAGCUCUCUCUUAGGAGGACAGUGGACUGUAGCAGCACCAAAGCUGGGGGGCAGAGGGACCGGGAUGACUCUGAUCACUCUGAGAUAGAGGAGGGGGAGAUAGUCGGGGCUGCUGAAAGAGAUGGCGGCAAUAAGAGAUCUGCCGGAGAAAUCCUCUCGCUGAAUUCUCCCAGCGUCUCCUUCUUCGGUUCCAAGCCGGAGCGCAUCCUGCGGGUGCUGGACGGGGACGGCUUUGUGUCGGUGCGCGCCGAGAGCACCUGGGAGGCGGACAGAGAGCCGGAGGACGAGCCCGUGGUAGGAGUGGAGGAUCUGAGGAGGAAGCUGGUCAGCAGACGAAAGGAAAGAUACCUCUCCUUUCCUGCUUCUUCCCCCCUCUCUCCUCAGCCGGCGCCCCCUCCCUCCCAUCCUCCAGCCUCUGCACCCUCCUCCCCUCCCGCGCCUCCGGCAGAGCAAGGCAGCAAGAGCCGCAGCAAGUCCUCCAAGAGCUCCAAGGACUGCAACCGACAGAAAAGCAAGGAUAAGAACGGAGAGAAGGAGGAGAGAAGAAAAAAGAGCAAUAAGGACAAAGAGGGAGGUCGGGAGAGGAGCAAAGAAAAGGAGCGAGGGCACAAGGCGGGGAAGGAGGUCAAAGGAAGGCGGAGCAGCAGGAGCAGUAGCCGGAAGAGGAAGAAAAGACAGCACAGCAGCCCCGAGGCUUCAAGAUCCUGCAACUCUUCGGGAAGAGGGGGCCACACUAGGCACUCCUUUUCAAGCCUAUCUGAAGAACGACACCGGGAGAAAGAGAGAGACAAAGACAGAGAGAGGGAUAGAGACAGAGGGAGAGAGAGAGAGAGAGACAGGGACAGAGACAGAGAGCAGAAUCGGACCAGUAGCCAUAGAAGAGACGAAAGAGACCGAGAUUCUAGCUCCAAAAAGGAGGAGCGGGAAAGUAAGGGAAGCCAACAUUCAAGCAGCAGAGAGCGGGGCGUUUCAAAGAGGUCCAAAAGAAGCCGGGAGAAGCGGGAAGGGGACCGAGACAGGCAGCGCGGGAGGGAACUGCGUUGGGACGGCCGCCCCGUUGUCCCGCCAUCCAUCCAAGACCUCAACGGGUCUGACCUCUUUGCCAUCAAGAGAACCAUCACGGUCACCACCACCACGACCACCACCACUGUCCCCGGCUCCCCGAGACUCACCCCCACCUCUCCCUGUCGGCCCGCACAGGACUCAGACAAGCCCCACAAGAGGAAGAAGAAGAGGAAAUGGCACUCGGCUGGAGAGAUGGAGGACCAGGGAAGUUGUCGCAGCCAAUCGCAGUCGCUCUCGCCACCAAGGUAUCACAGCUACGAAUCGGACCGCUAUUCCGACAAGUUGGAGAUCGACGUGUUGUCUUUGGACGGGGAGGCUUUGGACUCGGACUACCCCUCUUUGGAGGAUACGCCCCCUGCUGCCCUGCCCCCGGAACCACCCGCGCCCAGCCCCAAAACGAAAACUACCCCCAAGGCUGGACGACAUCACCCGAAAAAGAAAUCUGACUCACUGAAGAAGAUUGGCCAAUCUGAAUCCUCGUCCUCCUCCUCCUCCAAUAGAACCAAAAGCAAAUGCCUCUCCUCACUGACCGUAACUUCCGGCUCCGCCUCAUCUGGCCUCCCCUCAGCAAAGCGAGCCAGGAAAUUGGGAAAGGACAAAGACCGGGACAAAGGCAGCAGGAAGGAUUUGGGUCACUCUAGCAAAUCCAAGAAAGAGAGCAGCGGCAGUCGGAAAGGCAAGCUUCAGUCGAAGGUGUCCGUGCUGGUGCGCGAGGGCGUGAGCAGCACCACGGGGGCUUCCGUUGGCUCUGGAAAGCUGGGCAUGGACCUCCUAGGGCCAGGAGGUACAGGCGGGGGCGCUGGGGGCUCUGUGGUCGGUGGCUCAAUUGCGGUAGUCUUCUGCAGGGACAAUGAGAGCAGGUCUCCAUUCCUCAAGCCUUGCUCGGAGCCGCUGUCACUGGGCAACCGCAGUAAAGACCUGAGCAGCAUGGGAAAGCGGAGCAGCCUGGCUGCGCCGCCGUCCUCCUUAACCCGUCCCGCAGGGCUGAAAUCCAAGAAAACCAAACCAAGCUCCAUCACGUCCACCUCCUCCUCUGCCUCCUCGCCCUCGUCAUCUCUGGCGACCAAGCGCCGCCGCCGCCUGGCCAAGAAGACCAGAGAAAAAGGCGGAGCCGUAGGGUUGGCGGCCGGAGAAGGCAGCCCAAACAAAAGCCCCGUCUGA
ensembl:lncRNA